CCUACGGGAGGCAGCAGUGGGGAAUAUUGGGCAAUGGGCGCAAGCCUGACCCAGCAACGCCGCGUGAAGGAAGAAGGCUCUCGGGUUGUAAACUUCUUUUGUCAGGGAAGAGUAGAAGACGGUACCUGACGAAUAAGCUACGGCUAACUACGUGCAAGCAGCCGCGGUAAUACGUAGGUGGCAAGCGUUGUCCGGAUUUACUGGGUGUAAAGGGCGUGUAGCCGGGUUGACAAGUCAGAUGUGAAAUCCUGCGGCUUAACCGCAGAACUGCAUUUGAAACUGUUGAUCUUGAGUACUGGAGAGGCAGAUGGAAUUCCUAGUGUAGCGGUGAAAUGCGUAGAUAUUAGGAGGAACACCAGUGGCGAAGGCGGUCUGCUGGACAGCAACUGACGGUGAGGCGCGAAAGCGUGGGGAGCAAACAGGAUUAGAUACCCCAGUAUC
rnacentral:rRNA from 1 species